UGUAACGGGGUAUUUUCUGGUCAAAUACAACGAAAACUAUUCUAGGGUUCUGUUCUUUUAAUACACAAAUAUUUAAGACCCUACAACAUAUAAUAACAAAUAAUAAAUAUUCACAUGACAAGACAGUACAUAUAACAUAUGGGCAAAGGGGAAUAACUACAAUUCAUAUUUAUUCCUUUAGAUAUCUAUAUACUGAAAUAAGUCCUAAAAGCACUCAAAUCUAACUCUUUGGUUCACUUUCCAAUACAUUAUUCAUAUGUAUCUCAUAAUAAUUAAUAAUUAUAUACAUCUCAAAUCUAUUAAUGAGUUGUCCAUUUUAUAAAUAUAUUUGUAUACAAAGUAUACAAAUUCUGACCAACAUAAAGAUAUUACAUAAACUACACUUCACAUAAACAGACAAUUACUUGAAUAAAACAUAGACAGUACAGACAUUACAAAUAAACAACAUAGAACACAAUGCUUACCAUGUAUAUGGUACAAAGGUCAGUGUACUAGCUGGAAUAUCACAGUGCUGUGUACAUUAAAAUCUGAG
rnacentral:lncRNA from 1 species